rnacentral:rRNA from 1 species
CCUACAAAUUAGUGUUAGUGCACCAGAUCCCUUUAGAACUCUAUAUUUAAGCACACUUGGGAUAGAGUAGUACUGGGUUGGGUGACUUCCUGGGUGAUCCAAAAAGGA